UACGAAGGGGGCUAGCGUUGCUCGGAAUCACUGGGCGUAAAGCGCACGUAGGCGGCUUUCUAAGUCAGGGGUGAAAUCCUGGAGCUCAACUCCAGAACUGCCUUUGAUACUGGAGAGCUUGAGUCCGGGAGAGGUGAGUGGAACUCCGAGUGUAGAGGUGAAGUUCGUAGAUAUUCGGAAGAACACCAGUGGCGAAGGCGGCUCACUGGCCCGGUACUGACGCUGAGGUGCGAAAGCGUGGGGAGCAAACAGG
rnacentral:rRNA from 1 species